CUGCUGCCUCCCGUAGGAGUUUGGGCCGUGUCUCAGUCCCAAUGUGGCCGUUCACCCUCCCAGGCCGGCUACUGAUCGUCGCCUUGGUGGGCUUCUACCCCGCCAACCAGCUAAUCAGACGCGGAUCCAUCUUACACCACCGGAGUUUUUCACACUGAGCCAUGCGGCUCUGUGCGCUUAUGCGGUAUUAGCACCUAUUUCUAAGUGUUAUCCCCCAGUGUAAGGCAGGUUAUCCACGCGUUACUCACCCGUCCG
rnacentral:rRNA from 1 species